GAGCUCACUUCAGCAGCACAUACACUAAAAUUGGAAAGAUACAGAGAAGAUUAGGAUGGCAGGAAAAUUCAUGAAGCGUUCCAUAUUUUU
ensembl:snRNA U6 U6 spliceosomal RNA